AAUAUUGGGCAAUGGGGGAAACCCUGACCCAGCAACGCCGCGUGAGUGAAGAAGGUCUUCGUAUUGUAAAGCUCUGUUGCCGGGGACGAGAGAUUAGGGGAGGCAAUGCCCCUGAGAGGACGGUACCCGGUGAGGAAGCCACGGCUAACUACGUUCCAGCAGCCGCGGUAAUACGUAGGCGGCAACCGUUGGCCGGAAUCAUUGGGCGUAAAGGGAGCGCAGGCGGGAAGGCAAGUCUUCCUUAAAAGUGCGGGGGUCAGCCCCGUGAGGGGGAAGAAACUGUUUUUCUUGAGUGCCGGAGAGGAAAGCGGAAUUCCCAGUGUAGCGGUGAAAUGCGUAGAUAUUGGGAAGAACACCAGUGGCGAAGGCGGCUUUCUGGACGGCAACUGACGCUGAGGCUCGAAAGCCAGGGGAGCGAAC
rnacentral:rRNA from 1 species